rnacentral:lncRNA from 1 species
CGGAAAAGACACCCAUGAUUUUUUAUUCAAUGCCUUGAAACGCUGCCUCAGUAAUUCCGUUGCCAAAGAGUACAGUAUGGAUGGCAAAAAAAAAAGAAACCGCUGAGACCGACAUAUUUUUUGAGAACCAUGCUCGAAGCUGCAAAGAUGCAUAGGGCUGAAUCUGAUGAAGAUCUCGCCAUAAAAAUUAUAAGCUCCUGGCUCGCUGGAGCCAAAUUGAGAUUCGACAGAGAAACCGCCAAACUGGGAGUGAUUGAACCAGAACAAGAACAACGUGCGGAUUGAGAGUAUAUGACAAAACGUAACAUUUCUUCGUAAAUAUGGUGUAUAGCAAAAGACUGCCCUGUA